GACGUAGGGGGCGAGCGUUGUCCGGAUUUAUUGGGCGUAAAGCGCGCGCAGGCGGUUCGGAUGGUCGGGUGUGAAACCUCCAGGCUCAACCUGGAGACGCCACCCGAUACUGUCAUGACUAGAGUCCGGUAGGGGAGCGUGGAAUUCCUGGUGUAGCGGUGAAAUGCGCAGAUAUCAGGAGGAACACCGGUGGCGAAGGCGGAUCUCUGGGCCAUUACUGACGCUGAGGAGCGAAAGCGUGGGGAGCGAACAGG
rnacentral:rRNA from 1 species